UUUCCGUAGGUGAACCUGCGGAAGGAUCAUUACACGAUUUCGGUUAACACCGUUUUCACCCUUUGUUUAUACGUACCACAUGUUUCCUCGGGGGGCUUGCCUGCCGGUUGGACAACUUUAUAACCUUUUUAAAUCUUCAAUCAGCGUCUGAACAAUAUACAAUAAUUACAACUUUCAACAACGGAUCUCUUGGUUCUGGCAUCGAUGAAGAACGCAGC
rnacentral:misc_RNA from 1 species